rnacentral:lncRNA from 10 species
CUUUGCUUCUAGCAUAACAAAUACGUUCCCCUGCAUUGAACGUGUUUUCCUAACAACAGUGGCGAGAUGUGACAAGGAAACUUGUUUGGAGCAACGUCUGAGUCACAAUAGAAUUAGUAUCAGGUACAAAUGACCACAAAGUACAGGUGCUGAGUCACAGUGAUUUGGGAUUCUCUAGUAAAAAGGACAUGUGGAGAACUUAACUUUUAUUUCCUCUCUUUUGCUGGUGUAAGUUUGGAGGUAUCGUCACACAAUCACCUUUCAUUCACUAACGCUCACAUUUUAGGUGCUUUUCCUUCUUACAUAAUAAAAUAGCAAAGCACAUAGGCCUGGGGUCCCUGGGGAAAGCCAAGUCUGCCUGGCUGCCUUGAGAACUCUGGACUGGAUUUGACAUGGAGGAGUUGGGGAUUGUUGCUCAGGGAUCAGAACAGUGAAACUCAGGUUAAUGAGUAAAGAGUGAGAAUAUGUGUUUGUAUGUUUCUUAAUCCCAUCUACUAGGUGAUUACAAAACUCAUUCAAAGUUGAACACAGUAGAGGUAUUUCAAGUUGCUUUAGAGAGAGAAUUACACACACACAAAAAAUCUUUAGGAGCCAGACAACCACUGUGGACACCAAUAAGAGAGCUCCAACAUUGGUGAGGUAUAGACCCGUCAAAGUUGUUGGUAAUAACAGCAAGGUCCAUCUGGCAAGAUUGGUCACCUGUGGUGGAAGUGGUGGUGACAGCAGGGAUGCAACUGCAGCAAUCAAUGAUGAUGAUCUCACUAGGGUGGGGAGGUGUUAAAGGCAUCUUCACAGCAGCACAGUGCCCAGAAUGCCAAAGAGCAGCAGGAUGGAUCCAGCAUCCUCUCCUGAUAAAAGAGGGCUAGAAGACGGGAGGCUCCGGGAAGUCUACUGGGGAUGGAAAACAAACUGAAACUGGCUCAAGUGAAUGCUCACUGGAAGGCUUACUGGAAAACUUACUGGAAGGAUGUGAGGACAUGUUCGGGAAUCUAUUUGCAGAAAACAUAUUCAGCCCUGUCCACCACAGCCAGCUGGCUGAAGAGCUCAAAAGGCAAGAAAUCAGCAAGAGAGAGAGAUGAAGCAUGAGAAAUGAGCAAAAAACACCCAGCACAUCAUAAUCUUGGACAGUUUAGCAGUACAUGAAAAUAGAUGGUCCUCGCCCCAAGGGACUGCAGUAACCCUGAAUAAACAGGAUGUCUCUCACUUUUAGCAGUUCUUUCUGUGCUAGUAUUGGGGAAAUAUAUUUUUGGCUGCAUGCAAAAUGGUAAAAGACAUCUAUUAAGAAAAUGAAAACAAUGCUUCUGUUUUAGACGAAGCUUUUGAAGGUUUAAGGAUCACCUAUUUAUUGACAAAAUUGUUUCCGUGGCUUAAAAAUAAAAUACAAACAAAUACUACAGGUAUUCUUGCCUUCUCAUUCUACUUAAAAUCACAUUUCCAAAGACUUUCUUCUCUACUUAAAAACAGGAAUUAAGAAAUACUCAAAAGAGAUCCUAGACAAAACUAACAUUUCAGCAACCAAAGAUAAAUCAUGCUUUUAGAGGAAGAUGCUAGGUUCUAGAAUCUCUCUGAACACCGUGUAGCACUAAGAAACUACAAUCACUGGCUGAGACCUUGAUCAAAUAAUGGCUAACAUAUAAGAUGCUUAUUCUAGUCAGGCACACUUCUAAGAGCUGUAUAUCUGCUAAUUCAUUUAUUCUCCUAGGAUAUAAAGGAUCAGCAGAUCCUUCAGGCUCUGGUAUGUUCUGAGAUGAGUUAACCCAGAAAUUGUCAUCAAAAGACAGAUUCAGCAAAACGGAAA